UGGGGAAUAUUGCACAAUGGGCGCAAGCCUGAUGCAGCCAUGCCGCGUGUAUGAAGAAGGCCUUCGGGUUGUAAAGUACUUUCAGCGAGGAGGAAGGCGGUAAGGUUAAUAACCUUAUCGAUUGACGUUACUCGCAGAAGAAGCACCGGCUAACUCCGUGCCAGCAGCCGCGGUAAUACGGAGGGUGCAAGCGUUAAUCGGAAUUACUGGGCGUAAAGCGCACGCAGGCGGUCUGUCAAGUCGGAUGUGAAAUCCCCGGGCUCAACCUGGGAACUGCAUUCGAAACUGGCAGGCUAGAGUCUUGUAGAAGGGGGUAGAAUUCCGGGUGUAGCGGUGAAAUGCGUAGAGAUCU
rnacentral:rRNA from 1 species